rnacentral:rRNA from 1 species
UACAGAGGGUGCAAGCGUUGUUCGGAAUUAUUGGGCGUAAAGGGCGCGUAGGCGGUUCGGCAAGUCUCUAGUGAAAUCUCAGGGCUCAACUCUGAGUCUGCUGGGGAAACUGCCGGGCUUGAGUGUGGGAGAGGAGAGUGGAAUUCCCGGUGUAGCGGUGAAAUGCGUAGAUAUCGGGAAGAACACCUGUGGCGAAAGCGGCUCUCUGGACCACAACUGACGCUGAGGCGCGAAAGCUAGGGGAGCAAACAGG